CGUAAAUGAUGCAGAGAAAACUUGUGUCAAACUGACUGUAUUGAGCAACCAGUGAGUUUCUAGUGAGUCGGUUGCUAAUCUCUCUGCUUCAGCGAGAAAAAAGGUCAGUCUUGUAGCUUUGAUGCUACCAGUAGCAGUUCCAAAGAUGAAGAGCCUAAAAUAACUGCUUAUCGUUUCAUUGAUGUGUAAUAACUAAAUGAACUUUUGCAGCAAGUGUCAUUGUAACUCAUUGUAAGUUAUGUGGAGAAUCUAGUCUUAGUCUUAAAAAUGAUCCUUGGGAAAGAAUAGGUUGUGCUACUCAUCUUCGGUUGUGUUGUGAUAAAUGUGGCUGGGUUUAUAGCUUUUUACAUAAAAAAGUCAGACAUUUUUUUUAUGUAAACAGAAGACUUGUUUAUGCAAUGAGAAAGCAUUGCCAUUGGACAAGGAGAAGCUUCUGUGAGACGUUUCUGUUCCCUAAUGAAUAUUCCCCCACCACCGAAACCUUCUGCUUAUUCAGCUUAUAAUGAUACCUUGUUGAAAGCAGCCAAGACUGUGGCCACUGAUAAGAUGGGGAAUGCUGGUAAGGAGUUAGACCAUGACAAUAACAGUUAUGACAAAGUUCUCCAGUACGAUGUUUACUGUGACGGAACUUGGCAAAGGUGGGGAUAUUCAUCAUUAAAUGGUCAAGUUACUACCAUUUCAAUGGAAACGGGUAAAUGCCUUGAUGUCGAGAUUUUGUGUAAGGCAUGUCAUACCUGCCAAAGGAUUGAUAGAGAGACAGAUGAUGAAAAAAGGCAUUGCGUAAAGCUGACCAUAUAGCAAAAUACAAGGCAAACUAUGCAGGUUCAGCACCGUCAAUGGAGACCGAGGGAGUGAAGCGAAUCUUUGAAUGUAGUGAAGCGACACACAAAUUACAAUAUACAGAGUAUUUUGGUGAUAGUAAUAGCAGGAAGGUACCACCUAUAAGGCAGGAUUGUUUUAAAAAGUAAAAUUGUCAUUUACUGCUUUGCAUUAGGUUCCACUGCUGAAAUAACUUAAACCGUAAACUUUAAAGCUGUUUUUCUCAAUUUGUAAAAAUGGUCCGAUUGCUCAAUUUUCAUGCAUGAUAUCUCAAAAACUAUUAAAGGUAUCCUGAUCAAAUUUUCAGAGUUGCUAGUACAUAUCAUGCUCCAGGGAAUGAACUAGGAUAAUUGAGUUCUGCUGCAUUUUCAAGGAGUUAUCACUGUUUCAGUGAUGCAUGUUUCCGCAUUUUUUGUGUUUGGUAGGAUAAAUUCUGAUAAUAGUUGUUGUAUAUGCAGUAGGGCAAUGAUUCUAGUUCAUUCCCUGGACACUAUUGUAACUAACACAAUAAAAGUUAUUUUAGACUUCUAUCAUUAAUUCUCACCUAGUUAUCAUGUUUGAAAAUUGACCCAUUUUUUCCCUUUGGGCGUGGCAUAUAUUGGUUACUAUGGAAACAGUUAACUAAAGAAGUAUAUUUUCAUGGUUGGGUGACCACCUUCAACAACACUGUGUAGUUAGAUUUUUGUUUUGGACCAUUUUUAGGGAAAAAAAAAAAUUUGUAUAAGACCACCUUAAGCUAUUUUUGGCGUAACUGUCAUGUUUUGAUGUACCUCCGUGCACGUUUCAAUAUUUCCAAG
rnacentral:lncRNA from 1 species